GGCGAACGGGUGAGUAACACGUGGGUGAUCUGCCCUUCACUUCGGGAUAAGCCUGGGAAACUGGGUCUAAUACUGGAUAGGACCAUCGUUUAGUGUCGGUGGUGGAAAGUUUUUCGGUGGAGGAUGAGCUCGCGGCCUAUCAGUUUGUUGGUGAGGUAGUGGCUCACCAAGGCGAUGACGGGUAGCCGGCCUGAGAGGGCGACCGGCCACACUGGGACUGAGACACGGCCCAG
rnacentral:rRNA from 1 species